AGAGUUUGAUCCUGGCUCAGGAUGAACGCUAGCUACAGGCUUAACACAUGCAAGUCGAGGGGCAUCACAGAGUGGCAACACUUGGGUGGCGACCGGCGCACGGGUGAGUAACACGUAUCCAACCUGUCCCAUACUCGGGGAUAGCCUUUCGAAAGAAAGAUUAAUACCCGAUGGCAUCCAGUCAAGGCAUCUUGAUAGGAUUAAAGAAUUUCGGUAUGGGGUGGGGAUGCGUUCCAUCAGCUUGUUGGCGGGGUAACGGCCCACCAAGGCAACGAUGGAUAGGGGUUCUGAGAGGAAGGUCCCCCACAUUGGAACUGAGACACGGUCCAAACUCCUACGGGAGGCAGCAGUGAGGAAUAUUGGUCAAUGGACGAGAGUCUGAACCAGCCAAGUAGCGUGAAGGAAGACUGCCCUAUGGGUUGUAAACUUCUUUUAUAAGGGAAUAAAGUGCAUCACGUGUGGUGUUUUGUAUGUACCUUAUGAAUAAGGAUCGGCUAACUCCGUGCCAGCAGCCGCGGUAAUACGGAGGAUCCGAGCGUUAUCCGGAUUUAUUGGGUUUAAAGGGAGCGUAGGCGGCAGGUUAAGUCAGUUGUGAAAGUUUGCGGCUCAACCGUAAAAUUGCAGUUGAUACUGGCCUGCUUGAGUGCGGCAGAGGCAGGCGGAAUUUGUGGUGUAGCGGUGAAAUGCUUAGAUAUCACGAAGAACUCCGAUUGCGAAGGCAGCUUGCUGGAGCGUAACUGACGCUGAUGCUCGAAAGUGCGGGUAUCAAACAGGAUUAGAUACCCUGGUAGUCCGCACAGUAAACGAUGGACACUCGCUGUUGGCGAUACACGGUCAGCGGCUUAGCGAAAGCGUU
rnacentral:rRNA from 1 species